rnacentral:rRNA from 1 species
GGGGGACAUUCCACGUUUUCCGCGCCGGGGCUAACGCAUUAAGUGCCCCGCCUGGGGAGUACGGCCGCAAGGCUAAAACUCAAAGGAAUUGACGGGGGCCCGCACAAGCGGCGGAGCAUGCGGAUUAAUUCGAUGCAACGCGAAGAACCUUACCAAGGCUUGACAUGUGCCAGACCGCUCCAGAGAUGGGGUUUCCCUUCGGGGCUGGUUCACAGGUGGUGCAUGGUUGUCGUCAGCUCGUGUCGUGAGAUGUUGGGUUAAGUCCCGCAACGAGCGCAACCCUCGUUCCAUGUUGCCAGCACGUAGUGGUGGGGACUCAUGGGAGACUGCCGGGGUCAACUCGGAGGAAGGUGGGGAUGACGUCAAAUCAUCAUGCCCCUUAUGUCUUGGGCUUCACGCAUGCUACAAUGGCCGGUACAAUGGGUUGCGAUACUGUGAGGUGGAGCUAAUCCCUAAAAGCCGGGUCUCAGUUCGGAUUGGGGUCUGCAACUCGACCCCAUGAAGUCGGAGUCGCUAGUAAUCGCAAAUCAGCAACGCUGCG